AAGCCCUUAGCUUCAUCGUGCAACGAAAAGUUUGUAGGCGUUGACUUUGGUGUGUGAUGAUGUUCAGACGGAACCCCAACUUUGGUCUGUGAGAGACAGAGACUGAUUUUGUAGCAGCUGAGAUUUCAUAAAAAGGGUUUUUGUGAGUCCGAUUAGCGAUUCCAACAAGGAAAAGAGUCGUCAACCAGGUAUGGACGCCAGCAAUGGCGGUGAUGUAAGACCAAUAAAAGGAGUCAAAGGUUGGUAUUUGCCGGCUUUUGUAUAAUUUAUCAUGCUAUAAUUUGUCAAACAUAUGAAUUAGUUUUUUUUUUUUAAUUUUUAAUGGUGAUGUUCUAAAAUUAAAAGUCGUGUAUAAUGAAAAAAGAGGUUUACAUGUCUUUGUAAUUUAUAUACUAUUUUAUGUACCUUACUCGUCUUCAAUUACUCUAUUUCGUUGAAAUUCAAAUUAGGCAUCUCUAACUAGUUGAACAUUUU
rnacentral:lncRNA from 1 species